GACGAACGCUGGCGGCGUGCUUAACACAUGCAAGUCGAGCGGUAAGGCCCUUUCGGGGGUACACGAGCGGCGAACGGGUGAGUAACACGUGGGUGACCUGCCCUCAGCUCUGGGAUAAGCCUGGGAAACCGGGUCUAAUACUGGAUAUGACUCCAUGACGCAUGUUGUGGGUGGAAAGCCUUGUGCGGCUGAGGAUGGGCCCGCGGCCUAUCAGCUUGUUGGUGGGGUGAUGGCCUACCAAGGCGACGACGGGUAGCCGGCCUGAGAGGCGACCGGCCACACUGGGACUGAGACACGGCCCAGACUCCUACGGGAGGCAGCAGUGGGGAAUCUUGCGCAAAUGGGCG
rnacentral:rRNA from 1 species